UCAGAAAAUAUGGAGAAGUUUUUUGACUAAAUCAAUAAUCAAUGAUGACAAAUAUUAGGGGGAAAAGAAGGGGCCAGAAUCUAGCAAACUAUCUUGUUUAGAAAGUAAUAGUUAAUCCAGCAUUAUUCUAAUGAUAAGUCUUUUUUCUUCUAUGAUUUUAGGAGUUCAAUAAGUAUGACAGAGAACCAGCUAAAUACAUCAAGCAAUAUCAAGGAAUCAAACCAAGGACAGGGGCACCAUACUCUUGUAUUUUAGGAAUCAGAGUUGCUUUGAGUUUCAUUCCGGCUUAUGUAGAUGCUGGACUAUUGAUUUUCCUAAUUUUUUGUUUUUCUCUCUCUUUCGAUCUAUAUGUUAGCUGUCCCUGAAAUCUGAACUUGAGCAUAAUGCAAUAUCUCCAUCCAAACCGCCUCUGCACACUAAGGGAUCUAAAGAGAAUAUUCCGGGUUCCUUAAAACAAGUAGUUCAGAGGUAUGGGAGGAAGCUGAGCCAUUGUGGGAGCGAGUGGAUGAUCCCUGAAAUUGGACCCCGGCCGAACAUCUACAGGUACAC